rnacentral:rRNA from 2 species
GGGUUGUGAGGUUAAGCGACCAAGCGUACACGGUGGAUGCCCUGGCAGUCAGAGGCGAUGAAGGACGUGCUAAUCUGCGAUAAGCGCCGGUAAGGUGAUAUGAACCGUUAUAACCGGCGAUUUCCGAAUGGGGAAACCCAGUGUGAUUCGUCACACUAUCAUUACGUGAAUACAUAGCGUAAUGAAGCGAACCGGGGGAACUGAAACAUCUAAGUACCCCGAGGAAAAGAAAUCAACCGAGAUUCCCCCAGUAGCGGCGAGCGAACGGGGAGGAGCCCAGAGCCUGAAUCAGCAUGUGUGUUAGUGGAAGCGUCUGGAAAGGCGCGCGAUACAGGGUGACAGCCCCGUACACAAAAGCGCACAUGUUGUGAGCUCGAUGAGUAGGGCGGGACACGUGGUAUCCUGUCUGAAUAUGGGGGGACCAUCCUCCAAGGCUAAAUACUCCUGACUGACCGAUAGUGAACCAGUACCGUGAGGGAAAGGCGAAAAGAACCCCGGCGAGGGGAGUGAAACAGAACCUGAAACCGUGUACGUACAAGCAGUGGGAGCCCCACCACUAAGCCAGUGGUGAACUCCACAUACGCAUCCUUUGCUGAAGGUGCGGUUAACGGAGCGAAAGCGACGUUCAACCUCAAAAGAAGCAGAGGGGGCUUAGUGGUGGGGUGACUGCGUACCUUUUGUAUAAUGGGUCAGCGACUUAUAUUCUGUAGCAAGGUUAACCGCAUAGGGGAGCCGAAGGGAAACCGAGUCUUAAUUGGGCGUUAAGUUGCAGGGUAUAGACCCGAAACCCGGUGAUCUAGCCAUGGGCAGGUUGAAGGUUGGGUAACACUAACUGGAGGACCGAACCGACUAAUGUUGAAAAAUUAGCGGAUGACCUGUGGCUGGGGGUGAAAGGCCAAUCAAACCGGGAGAUAGCUGGUUCUCCCCGAAAGCUAUUUAGGUAGCGCCUCGUGAACUCAUCUCCGGGGGUAGAGCACUGUUUCGGCUAGGGGGCCAUCCCGGCUUACCAACCCGAUGCAAACUGCGAAUACCGGAGAAUGUUAUCACGGGAGACACACGGCGGGUGCUAACGUCCGUCGUGAAGAGGGAAACAACCCAGACCGCCAGCUAAGGUCCCAAAGUCAUGGUUAAGUGGGAAACGAUGUGGGAAGGCCCAGACAGCCAGGAUGUUGGCUUAGAAGCAGCCAUCAUUUAAAGAAAGCGUAAUAGCUCACUGGUCGAGUCGGCCUGCGCGGAAGAUGUAACGGGGCUAAACCAUGCACCGAAGCUGCGGCAGCGACGCUUAUGCGUUGUUGGGUAGGGGAGCGUUCUGUAAGCCUGCGAAGGUGGCCUGUGAGGGUUGCUGGAGGUAUCAGAAGUGCGAAUGCUGACAUAAGUAACGAUAAAGCGGGUGAAAAGCCCGCUCGCCGGAAGACCAAGGGUUCCUGUCCAACGUUAAUCGGGGCAGGGUGAGUCGACCCCUAAGGCGAGGCCGAAAGGCGUAGUCGAUGGGAAACGGGUUAAUAUUCCCGUACUUGGUGUUACUGCGAAGGGGGGACGGAGAAGGCUAUGUUGGCCGGGCGACGGUUGUCCCGGUUUAAGCGUGUAGGCUGACUUUCGGGCAAAUCCGGAGAGUCAAGGCUGAGGCGUGACGACGAGGCACCACGGUGCUGAAGCAACAAAUGCCCUGCUUCGGGAAAAGCCUCUAAGCAUCAGGUAACAUCAAAUCGUACCCCAAACCGACACAGGUGGUCAGGUAGAGAAUACCAAGGCGCUUGAGAGAACUCGGGUGAAGGAACUAGGCAAAAUGGUGCCGUAACUUCGGGAGAAGGCACGCUGACACGUAGGUGAAGUGAUUUACCCAUGGAGCUGAAGUCAGUCGAAGAUACCAGCUGGCUGCAACUGUUUAUUAAAAACACAGCACUGUGCAAACACGAAAGUGGACGUAUACGGUGUGACGCCUGCCCGGUGCCGGAAGGUUAAUUGAUGGGGUCAGCGCAAGCGAAGCUCCUGAUCGAAGCCCCGGUAAACGGCGGCCGUAACUAUAACGGUCCUAAGGUAGCGAAAUUCCUUGUCGGGUAAGUUCCGACCUGCACGAAUGGCGUAAUGAUGGCGAGGCUGUCUCCACCCGAGACUCAGUGAAAUUGAACUCGCUGUGAAGAUGCAGUGUACCCGCGGCAAGACGGAAAGACCCCGUGAACCUUUACUAUAGCUUGACACUGAACAUUGAGCCUUGAUGUGUAGGAUAGGUGGGAGGCUUUGAAGCGUGGACGCCAGUCUGCGUGGAGCCGGCCUUGAAAUACCACCCUUUAAUGUUUGAUGUUCUAACGUGGACCCGUGAUCCGGGUUGCGGACAGUGUCUGGUGGGUAGUUUGACUGGGGCGGUCUCCUCCUAAAGAGUAACGGAGGAGCACGAAGGUUGGCUAAUCCUGGUCGGACAUCAGGAGGUUAGUGCAAUGGCAUAAGCCAGCUUGACUGCGAGCGUGACGGCGCGAGCAGGUGCGAAAGCAGGUCAUAGUGAUCCGGUGGUUCUGAAUGGAAGGGCCAUCGCUCAACGGAUAAAAGGUACUCCGGGGAUAACAGGCUGAUACCGCCCAAGAGUUCAUAUCGACGGCGGUGUUUGGCACCUCGAUGUCGGCUCAUCACAUCCUGGGGCUGAAGUAGGUCCCAAGGGUAUGGCUGUUCGCCAUUUAAAGUGGUACGCGAGCUGGGUUUAGAACGUCGUGAGACAGUUCGGUCCCUAUCUGCCGUGGGCGCUGGAGAACUGAGGGGGGCUGCUCCUAGUACGAGAGGACCGGAGUGGACGCAUCACUGGUGUUCGGGUUGUCAUGCCAAUGGCACUGCCCGGUAGCUAAAUGCGGAAGAGAUAAGUGCUGAAAGCAUCUAAGCACGAAACUUGCCCCGAGAUGAGUUCUCCCUGAGACUUUGAGUCUCCUGAAGGAACGUUGAAGACGACGACGUUGAUAGGCCGGGUGUGUAAGCGCAGCGAUGCGUUGAGCUAACCGGUACUAAUGAACCGUGAGGCUUAACCUUACAACGCCGAAGCUGUU